GCUUACGGCCAUACCAGCCUGAAGCSCGCCCGAUCUCGUCUGAUCUCGGAAGCUAAGCAGGGCCGGGCCUGGUUAGUACUUGGAUGGGAGACCGCCUGGGAAUACCAGGUGCUGUAAGCUUUU
rnacentral:rRNA from 1 species